AUAGCCUCCUACUUGCCACAGGGAAGCUGUGCCUCAGCUGGUGUGUGUAGAGGUUGUGGUUCUUCUAGUCUAGCUAGUGGCUAUCUUAAAAGUAUAAUAGGUUUUGUUAAAUCAAGCAGGUUUCUGCAGAAGUUCUCCAUUGACUUUUCUGAAGCUUGCAAAAUGACAAAUGAAAUGCUAACAUAUCUUAGCAGCCCUAUUGAAAGAGAAGAAUCAGUGUGACAGGUCAGUGUGGAGCACCUCAGCCCCAUCUAAGGGAACAACUUGUGUGUUGUCAUUUGAGACUGAAUCCUGAAUCAUUAAUUUUGCACUUGAUGUUCCUAAACGAAAGCUUUUUGAAGCAAAACCUUCUCUUGAUGUCUGAAUGCACCCUGAAGAUGUUAAUCACCAGAGCCACAAAUUCAAGACAAAAAGCCAUCCAGAUUUUUUAGAUGUGUCUUAUUCCAUAGCUCAAUGGCAUCACUACCUACAAUCAAAUAGGCACCACUGCAAGGACAAGUCCUCACUAUGUAUCGCAAUGCA